rnacentral:rRNA from 1 species
GUGGGGAAUAUUGGACAAUGGGGGGAACCCUGAUCCAGCCAUGCCGCGUGUGUGAAGAAGGCCUUUUGGUUGUAAAGCACUUUAAGCGAGGAGGAGGCUGCCGAGAUUAAUACUCUUGGAUAGUGGACGUUACUCGCAGAAUAAGCACCGGCUAACUCUGUGCCAGCAGCCGCGGUAAUACAGAGGGUGCAAGCGUUAAUCGGAUUUACUGCGCGUAAAGCGCGCGUAGGUGGCCAAUUAAGUCAAAUGUGAAAUCCCCGAGCUUAACUUGGGAAUUGCAUUCGAUACUGGUUGGCUAGAGUAUGGGAGAGGAUGGUAGAAUUCCAGGUGUAGCGGUGAAAUGCGUAGAGAUCUGGAGGAAUACCGAUGGCGAAGGCAGCCAUCUGGCCUAAUACUGACACUGAGGUGCGAAAGCAUGGGGAGCAAACAGGAUUAGAUACCCCGGUAGUCC